ensembl:lncRNA
UAUUUUGAAGAUGAGGAAAUGGAGGCUUGGCAGGAUGAAUUGCCCAAGGUCCAGAGCCAGGGAUGGCAGAACCUGGAUUGAAACCUGUUUAUCUGAACCAAGCAGCCCAGCUUUUUCUGCCUCUCUGCUGCCUCCCAGCAAAGAGCAAUGUGGAAUCCUCGAUCGUGGUGCCUCCCGAGGAGUUCGGGGGAUUGUGUGUCUGGCCUGGGCUGGGAAGGAAGGGUCCUUGUCCAGGUGGUCCUUUCUUCAUUGGCAACCAGCUGCCUCAUAAUUUCAACGGAGCCUCAUUUUUUCCCUAACUGCAGAGCUCUUUCACACUGAAAGUUGUGAAAUAGAUUCUUUGUUACCACACAGUUUUAUGUGAGUUUCAGCAGUGACAGCUGUUUCUCCUGGGACCCAAUCUCCUAAAUCACCUAAAUAACAAUAAUUCUGACAGACCCACAAGGCAGGGAGCCCAGAAGAGCAAAGGCCACCUGUAAGCCAAUGACCCUCAUGGGUAAACCCUAUCCCUUGACUUCAGCAGGAAGACCAUCUCUAGUUCAGUGUAAAUUUGUCCACCCCAUGGGCUGCUACUGAGGGAUGAAACCCUCUCUUUCAUAUCUGAGAGAGUGAAUUUGAAGACUGAUACCAGCUUACAUGAAUAUAAGGUUUUAAAUGCAAAUUACCUGCAAAAUUUUUUAUUAGCUGAAGCUGUGCUGUCCAUAUAGUCAAACAACUUAGCAGCAGCAGCGUUGAAUGGCAAGGGCUUCCCAGGUGGCAUGAGUGUUAAAGAACUUGCCUGCUGAUGCAGGAGAUGCAAGAGACGUGGGUUCUCUCCCUGGGUCAGGAAGAUCCCCUGGAGGAGAGCAUGGCAACCCACUCCAGUAUUCUUGCCUGGAGAAUCCCAUGGACAGAGGAGCCUGGCAGGCUACAGUCCACAGGGUCAUAAAGAGUUGGACACAACUGAGUGACUUAGCAUGUGUGCACACACAUACACACACGCACACAUAUUGAAUGACAAUGCUUUGGUUUCCUUAGUGGAUUUUUAUACCCAAUAUCAAUGUUAUGUAAAUAUAGCCAUGUCUGUAUGUAUGGGUUAUCAUAUAUGGUGUAUAAUUAUGAGCUGAAAUGCAGAGCUCUCAACCAUUCCAUUAACCAAGCCAUCUUAAAUUAUGUUAACUGCCCCCACUAGUUAGUUAGAGGCCUCUCUGGCACCCCACUCCAGUACUCUUGCCUGGAAAAUCCCAUGGACGGAGGAGCCUGGUGGGCUGCAGUCCAUGGAGUCGCUAAGAGUCGGACACGACUGAGCGACUUCACUUUCACUUUUCACUUUCAUGCAUUGGAGAAGGAAAUGGCAACCCACUCCAGUAUUCUUGCCUGGAGAAUCCCAGGGACGGGGCAUCCUGGUGGGCUGACGUCUAUGGGGUCACACAGAGUCGGACACGACUGAAGUGACUCAGCAGCAACUGUCAUAGAGUUUGGGAACUCAAGAGCACAGCUUGGAGUAAAGAUGAAGAUUUGGGAGUCUGGGGUGAGGCAGACACUGGUGUACAUGUGAUGACACAGAGGAUGUGUAGACUCUGCAGAGAAGUCGGCCGGGAGUGGCACCCAUCCCCUUCUAGAAGACGUUUCUGGAAAUAAUCUCAUUCACUGAAAAAUUUCCAGAAUAGUACAAGAACAAUCAUGUACUCUUUACCCAGACUCAUCCGUUGUUCACAUUGUGUUCCAAUAAUUUUAUCCUUUGCACGUGCUCUCUAUGCAUACAUACAUAUUUUUUUCUGGACCAUUUGAGAGUAAAUUGCAUACAUCAUGGCCCUUUACCGUUUACCAGUGAUUUUUUCUUAAGAGCAAGGAUAUUCUCUUAAAUGCCUACAAUACAGUUAAAAUCUUCAGUAAAUUUAACAUCUGUACAAUUCUGUCAUCUAUCAUCUUCAUUCCAACUUGUCAAGUAGCCCAGUCAUUUCCUUUAUAGUAUUUCCCGCCCUCCCCCUCCCAUUAUAGAAUUCUGUCUAGGAUCACAUAUUGUGUUUAGUUAUCCUGUCUCUUUAAUCUCCUCUAAUUUGGAAUAGUUCCUCACCUUUUCAUUGUCUUUUAUGACAGUAACAUUUUAAGAGAAUACAGCCCUCCCCACUUUUUAAAAUAGAAGAGUCCUCAUUUUGAGUGUGACGUUUCUUCAUGAUUAGAUUAAGGCUGUGAAUUCCCUGCCAAAAUAUUGAAUCGGUGAUGUGCUUGUCAACUGAAAGAAAAAUGCACAACAUAAGGGCUAUGAGUUUAAAUUUUAUUCAGGGUUUUACUGAGGCCCUUAGUCUGGGAUAUAGCCUCUCAGUAGCUCUGAGGUGAUUUCUUUAGAGGGGUAGGGGAGAAGUCAGUAUAUUUUUGAUUUUUGGCUAGGGAGUAUGUGCAAACAAGCAUAUGACUUGGUAAAAGGUUAUUGCUAGUCACAGGGCAAAGCUAUCAGUUAAUGAUUUUAGUGCUUUAUCAUGUAUGGGAAGAUGCAAGAAUCUGGGUUCGUGAAGAUUCUUCCUGAGAUAAACAUCUAACUAUCUGAAGCACUGAGCACCUCCUCCUGGUUUCCAUCCUGAAUUCCUCCCGGGGUGCGUUGUUGGUCAGCGACUGCAGUGGCUGAUGACUUAAUCAUUGCAUACCUGGAUGUUAAGCCACAUUCCUUGUUUUAUAUGCUCUUCUCAGGGUAGCACUCCCAGAGGCAGAUUACCAUCUGCUGCUUCUCAUUAGUGAUAAUUCUGAUCCUCAGACAAGGUAUCUGAUUUCUUCACUGUAUAGUAAGCAUUUUUGCUUCAGUGCUAAUAAUCUGAGGAGACACUUUAAAUCCAUGCAGAUAUCCUGCUUUUAUCAAAAUUUCCCCCCUAAAUUUAACUGAUGAUAACCCAGUCUUUGCUUUGAUGAUGGAAAAUCAAUGAUUUUUCAACUCUAGCACUAUUACCACAUUUAUCUUUUGGUCCUUGGCAUUUUCUCAGGGAGAGCCCUGUCUUCUCCAUCACUUAUCUAACAUUUAUUUAUCUAUUUAUUACUAGACUGAUGGAUUCCUGUUACUCAUUGGUUUAUAAUUUGCUAUUUUACUUAAUUUUUUGGCUUAAAUUUCCCCAGAUUGGUAAGAAUCCCUUCAAACUCCCAUGUUCUUGUGACACACUCCCAUCAUUUUUGGAGUGCUUCCUUACUUUCUGUCUUGAAAAUAUGUUUUUGGCUCAUCUUACAGUUUCUGUGUCCCAGUCUUGGAAUCAACUACUUCUCUGGUGAUCUCUGGUUCUUUUUUGUGGAAACUGGUAUUAGAAACCAGUAUCUGGGAGCUAUGUGAGCUCAUUGCUAGCAGACAGACUUUGAAAAUAUAAAUUAUAUAUACAUAUAUACAUGCAUGUGUAGCUAUACAUACACACAUACACAGUUUAAACAUUGCCAGUUUGCACCAAUAUCUCCGAUUCCAAUCCAUUUCUACUCAGUUUUUUCUUACCAUCCACUAACUCAUGUGUGUUUCUUCUACAGCAAGAACCCUAGGAUGGAGCCCUUUAGUGUUUUAUUAGUGAUGUUAUUAACACUACAUUAUGUAACACUGUGUAAGUGUAAUAUAGGUAUAACAAUAUGUAACACUACAUAUUUACAUUAACAUCUAAAAAGUAGGCAGAGCAGAUGAGGGACAACAGAAAAGCAGGGGGAAACCAGCAGAGGCUAUCAAAGAAUUCAAGGGAGAAAUGAGCUUUAUCAUGGAGAGAAUAUUCAGCCCCAUCAAGUUUAAAUCACUUUACAAGAUUUUUAAAGGCUUUUAAAGGCUUUUCAUGCAUAUCCUGGCUAUGUAAAGCACCAGCUGUUUUCAUUUUGAUGCUCCCUUCCAAUAUCUGUCCAGGAAUACUUUCCUUUACGCUGUUGCAGUUGUAAGAUUGCAUUAUAAUUUGAUGUUUUGCUUUUUGCUUGAGAUAAUCUUGUAGCGGAGAAGGCAAUGGCAACCCACUCCAGUACUCUUGCCUGGAGAAUCCCAUGGACAGAGGAGCCUGGUAGGCUACAGUCCAUGGGGUCGCUAAGAGUCACACACGACUGAGCGACUUCACUUUCACUUUUCACUUUCAUGCAUUGGAGAAGAAAUGGCAACCCACUCCAGUGUUCUUGCCUGGAGAAUCCCAGGGAUGGGGGAGCCUGGUGGGUUGCCGUCUCUGGGGUCGCACAGAGUCGGACACGCCUGAAGCGACUUAGCAGCCCCAGCAGCAGCAGCCUCGUAGCACCUGUUCAUUUUCCAUGUGUCCUCCCACCCUUCAUUCUGACCUGUUUUAAUGGCUGUGCUGAUUCAAGAGGGAAGAGGCCACCUUUCUUCUAGCUUCUGUGGCUUCCAGAGCCACUCACAUCCUUGCCCUUUCAUCUGCUCACUCUCCCACUGCUCUGUAAAAAGAUGCUGACUACACUUACAUAACUUUCGCCAAGAUUAAAACAUAUGGAGUUGCUGAUAUUCAGUCUAUGAUGGCUGUUUCAUAUGAUCUUAGCCUAAUAUAUACCAGGCUAAGAUAUAUAUAUUUUAUAUACACUAUAUAAAGUACAGUAUAUUUAUAAUACAUGUAGACCUGAUUUAAGAGCGACUCAGUGCUAUUAAUUUAUCAGCAUUAAUCAUACCUUAGGAAGCAUUAUUAUCAUCAUCCUUGUUACAUCUGAGGAAACUGAGGCAAAGAAAGGUCAACUAACUUGCCCAUAGCUAGCAAGAGCAGGUGUAGUGUUUGGGCCCAGGAAGUCUGGCUUUGGAGCCCAGGUUCUUAAUCAUUGCACUAUGAUACCCCUUGAGAGUGGUAUCACCAAGCUGAAAAUAACCAAUUCCAAGCUUAUUAAGGGAGCUGGAGCCAGUCUGCUUGCUAACUGAGUGUGGAUGCCCUGUGUUUCCCCCUUUUCAGAAUUUGUUAUUUAAUGUACAUGUGUAUUUCAGAAUUUGUUAUUUAAUGUACGUAUUCCCUGUAGGUGUCAGGGUCAGAGACUAGAGAGUGGGCUUGCUCUUCACUGCCUGAUGCCAAGUGUCUUGUGCAGUAUGCAGAAGAGAUGUGCCCUCAAUAUUUAUUGAAGGAAAAGAAGGUAGAAGCUGGGGCAUCUAUUGGAGAGUGAGAAUGUAGGUGACAUGAACUGUAGGAUGUGUCUGACUUGUAUAGAGAGUUGGGCUUCGAGUGGUCACAAACAGGGUAGACUUUUCUACUUCUGGAAACCAGAGUAAGACAGGCCAGAGGGAUACGUUCAAACCAGAGAUUCAGUAUCAGACAUUGGCGAACCCCUGGCCCACAAGGCUACUGCCAGAGUUCAGAGGAGGGUGGAGGCUGGGUAGGAGGGAGAGCCAAUGAGGAGAGGCCUUUGGGAACUGUAAAUCAUAUUAACAUGAUAUAAAGUCUGAAAUAGCUAGGCCUGCCUGCCUACCAGACUUCAGGUCAUUGCAAGCCCAAGGUAGAAGCUUUCAAUUAACUUAAUGUCUUUGACCUCUCUCCCUAAGUGCUAGGUACGGUAGCAGAAUGCCUGCAGAUAUACAGAUGUCCUUAGGAAAGUGGGCUUUUGGUUUCUAGUAUCCUGGACCCAAGUUCUUUGAAAGAGUAAGAUAUUAAGGGCUAAGAACCACCCCUGGAAGAGAUGAAAGCUCAUUUUGUCAUUACCUGUCUCUGGGAUUUCUUUGUGACUCAUUCUUUUUAAUCUGUCAAAAAGGGAAACAGUGAAUUUGCAGAGCUUCUCAAAGUUAUUGUGAUGAUUUUUGUUUGUUCAUUGAUCAAAUCAAAUAGUACAUUAAAGUUCUUAGAAAAGUAUAAAGUACUAUAAAAUGUAAUUAUUAUUAAUGUCUGACAUCACAUGUACUAGAUAACAGAAUACAAUGAUAAAUUAACUCUAUGUUGGUAAACUGUUACCUAACUCCCACUUUAGCUCCCCUAUUCCACUGUCUUCCCAAGAAGAAGAUUCAUACUUUUAAAAAUAUGAGGUGGGAAAAAUGUUAUUUUAUAUAUAUAUAUUACAUAUAUUGACUUUCUACUGCUGCCGUAACAAAUUACCACAAACUUGAUGACUUUGAAACAACACAAAAUAAUCACCUGACAGUUUUGGAGAUCAGAAAUCUGAAAGAGGAUCUCACUGGGCUAAAACCAAGGUGUCAGCAGGGCUGUGUUCCAUUCUGGAGGCUCAAUGGGAGAAUGUGUUUCCUUGUUUUUUUCCAGUUUCUAGAGACUGUCUAUGUUCCUUUUUUCAUGGUCCCCUUCCUCCAUCUGCAAAGCCAGCGAUGUCAGAUCUGAGCCUUUUCUCCAUAGUCACAUCGUCCUUUCUCUUCCAUUCUAAGGGACCCUUGUGAUUACAUCCCAGAUAAUCCAGGAUAAUCUCCCCAUUUCAAGGUCAGUUGAUUAGCAACUUUAAUUCCCCUUUGUCAUGUAACGGGUUCUGGAGAUUAAAACAUGAAUAUCUGGGUGUGGGGGGGAUAUUAUUCUUCCUAACAUAUUAUAUAUUUUGUAAAUAUUUUAUCUGGAAAGAAUUUUUUUUAAAUUUUAUUUUAUUUUUAAACUUUACAUAAUUGUAUUAGUUUUGCCAAAUAUCAAAAUGAAUCCGCCAC